GAAGUUAUUUUGAAAGUUCUAACAAGGUCUGCUCAGUUAGCGCUGAGAAUUAGUUAGUAAUUUUGUUAGAUUACCGUUUAGAGCAAGUAAAUUCUAAGAAUUAGAACGUUUAAAUAAUAAGUAAGUUAUAUCAACUAUAAGCCUUAUCUUCAAUAGGCAUUUAUGGAUCUUUAAGUAAUCAGUGUAGGGUAUCUUGUGUUUGGAAUGGACUCAAAUUUUCAUAAUGAUGAAAAAUUCUUAUCGUUAAGAAGCCUUCUCAUUUUAAAGUCUAAAACUGGAACCUGGUCUGUGUAAAACUAUUGAGCUAGAUAUUAUCUAUGAAGUGCUGGAUUGAGUCUGCAGUAUGAGUGUACAUAGCUGUCAGGAGAAGUGCAGUUUUCUUUGUUUUUCCUUUAUGAGUACAGGUAAUCGGUAUGUCCAGCCAUUCAUUAGUCAAUCACAUCAUUACAUACUAUUUAAACAAGUGCUGGGGUUAAUUGGUUGUUUAUUUCUUUGUCAUAUUCUUUAUAUAUUUCCAUCUGAUAGGCUUUUUGUUGCUACCUUGAAAUGGAGAUAAAAUAUGUUGGUGUAUUUGGAAAACAUUUGCUACAUUUUGGGAAUAUAUUCUUCAAACUUUUGCAUAAGUUCAAUUAAAGAAUAACAGAACAACAGACAUACAGAAUGAGAGAACCACCUUAACUAAAAUGUUUUAUAAAACAUCAAUAGACAUCCAAUGGGACCAAGUAUUGCCACAUCCAAUCUAUGAAGAACUCAAAUUGUUGAAGCUCUUCAAAUAAUCAAGCAGGCUGAUAUUGAAUUUGUGAUCAAUGAGUGUACUCGUAAAGUUAUCUCUAUUCCAUGGUGAUGAGCAGUGCAGAAUAAUUACUGAUUUUGGACUCGCACAAACUUUUA
rnacentral:lncRNA from 1 species